UGUAUAGUUCAUUCGGUAGAGCAUCAGACUCCUAAUCUCAAGGGUCAUGGAUUCAAGCCUCCAUGCUGGGCAA